AACGCUAGCUACAGGCUUAACACAUGCAAGUCGAGGGGCAGCAUGAACUUAGCUUGCUAAGUUUGAUGGCGACCUGCGCACGGGUGAAUAACGCGUAUCCAACCUUCCGUACACUCAGGGAUAGCCUUUCGAAAGAAAGAUUAAUACCUGAUGGUAUGAUGGGAUUGCAUGAUAGCAUCAUUAAAGAUUUAUCGGUGUACGAUGGGGAUGCGUUCCAUUAGAUAGUAGGCGGGGUAACGGCCCACCUAGUCGACGAUGGAUAGGGGUUCUGAGAGGAAGGUCCCCCACAUUGGAACUGAGACACGGUCCAAACUCCUACGGGAGGCAGCAGUGAGGAAUAUUGGUCAAUGGGCGCGAGCCUGAACCAGCCAAGUAGCGUGAAGGAUGAAGGUCCUACGGAUUGUAAACUUCUUUUAUAAGGGAAUAAAGUCACCCACGUGUGGGUGUUUGUAUGUACCUUAUGAAUAAGCAUCGGCUAACUCCGUGCCAGCAGCCGCGGUAAUACGGAGGAUGCGAGCGUUAUCCGGAUUUAUUGGGUUUAAAGGGAGCGUAGGCGGGUUUUUAAGUCAGUUGUGAAAGUUUGCGGCUCAACCGUAAAAUUGCAGUUGAUACUGGAAGCCUUGAGUGCGGCAGAGGCAGGCGGAAUUCGUGGUGUAGCGGUGAAAUGCUUAGAUAUCACGAAGAACUCCGAUUG
rnacentral:rRNA from 1 species